GAUCCCUACGGGACGCAGCAGUGAGGAAUAUUGGUCAAUGGUCGGGAGACUGAACCAGCCAAGCCGCGUGAGGGAUGAAGGUACAGAGUAUCGUAAACCUCUUUUGUCGGGGAGCAAAAGACGCCACGCGUGGCGUUCCGAGAGUACCCGAAGAAAAAGCAUCGGCUAACUCCGUGCCAGCAGCCGCGGUAAUACGGAGGAUGCGAGCGUCAUCCGGAUUUAUUGGGUUUAAAGGGUGCGCAGGCGGUCUGUUAAGUCAGCGGUCAAAGCCCGGGGCUCAACCCCGGCCCGCCGUUGAAAGUGGC
rnacentral:rRNA from 1 species